UUUUACUCAAAUCCAUACUAAAAUUUUGACAUAUUGUUCCACUUUAUGAAUUUGAGUAAUCGCAACUCAAACCAUGAGUUAUGUUCAAAGAGCGUGUACAGUCACUCUAAUUUCGCCAUGAACAUAGUAAGCCUUGGAUUUAGAUGUCAAUCAGAUUUUCCCAUUUAGUACAUUUUGCUCAGCGUGGAUACUGAAACGAAAAUGUUCUCCAGAUUAUUAGCGUCCCACCUGUCCGGCUAUCGAGGGCAAGUUCGACAAAUGGCCUACACACUACGCGAUGGAGGAGGUGUUAUAUCAUAUCAUGGUAGAAGAAUACCAAGAAAGCACAUUAUGAUCAUGUUUUGUCUAAUGUAUCCCGUUUUCACCGUGGGGCCAUAUCUUAUGAUGUAUGUCAUCAAGGAAAACCGGAAAAUGAUCGACGGUGAAAAAUAAACCACUUUGAUGUUGUAAAUAACCAGCAAACCUGUGAAAUAAAACCCAUUCCAGUUAACCUUCAA